GGCUGGAGUGCAGUGACGCAAUAUUGGCUUACUGCAACCUCCACCUCCCAGGUUCAAGAGCUUCUCCCACCUCAGCCUCCCGAGUAGCUGGGAUCACAGGCACCCACCACCAUGCCAGGGUAAUUUUUUGUAUUUUUAGUAGAGGGUUCACCAUGUUGGCCAGGCUAGUGUUGAACUCCUGACCUUGUGAUCCAGCUGCCUUGGCCUCCCAAAGUGCUGGGAUUACAGGUGUAAGCCACCAUGCCCAACCUGGGUUCCUUUAGAGCAGCCAAAUCGCUAUCCUUCUAUCUACCUGUGAUAGAAGCCACAGGUAAGGGUUAAGGUGUAGGGAUUGCCCAGGCACAGUGGAAAAGCCCAAGCAGAAGGCCCCUUCUUCCUAAUCCCUUAGAAUAUCAGUUCUCUCUUCUGAUCACAUGGCCAAUCAAGCCCCACUCAUCAUUCUCCACAGGGGAGUCCCAGGGCCACAAGAGACCUGGUAUUCAUGAUGAUUGCAUGGGAAAUACUUAUAUUUUUAAAGUAUUCAUUGUUUAUCUGAAAUUCAAAUUUAACUGAUCAUCCUGUAUUUUAUCUGGCAACCCUAACGUAGGGCUGAGAACCAUGUAGUAGGGAAUUGAACUAGAUCGCCUAUAGAACCCUCUUGACUCCAGGAAACAAAGAUUCUAAGAUUCUUUUUUAAAUUUGUAUUUACUUAGUUUUUUAGAGACGGGAGUCUCACUAUGUUGUCCAGGGUGGAUUAGAACUCCUGGGCUAAAGCGAUCCUUCUGCCUCAGCCUCCCAAGUAGCUGGGAUGCAUGCCACCACACCUGGCUCCUAAGAUUAUUCUAGUUUGCCUUAUUCCUUCCAGUGAAAGCAGAAACUCUUCUUAGGAUUAUAGUAAUAGAGUUGAGAACAAUAACAGGUGAAUCAACAUAACAAAUGACAACACCCACUUACUCGCUGUGUAACCUUGGGACAGUCACUUAACAUCAUUGAACAUACAUUGCUUCAUCUAGCCAAUGAAAGGAAACCAAGAUUUCAUCUAAUAAAUGCCAGGCACUGUGUAGACCCUUCCUUCUGUGAGAUCUCUUGCCUAGGACAGUCAGACAAAAUACUGUCUGAGAAGGCACUUUGUAUGUGGGAAUAGGCUGUACC
rnacentral:lncRNA from 1 species